GCCUACGGUCUUUUGAAUAGUGUAAAAACAAGUGUUACAACAUUUCUGAUAACAAAAUUAAUAGGGAAUCAAUAAAUAUUUUAUUUAAAAUAUGUUUUAAAAAAUCUAAUGUUAAAGGAGUCUUAUUUACCAGAUGACUGGAGUCCAAGUAUAGUCUGUAAAAGCAUAGAGAGACACAGUUUUAAGUACAGACACAUCUCUCCGUCUUGUGAUUUUCUUUUGACAGUUUGUGUUGUCAUUCAGGAAAUUACAAGUUCUCACUCAUCUUCUCUUUUUUCCCCAACUUCUAGAAAUACCAGGCAUCAUGCCCUGGUAUAUUUUAACCAAGUAGGCCUGAUUGUUUUGCUCUUCCCCUUUCCAUUCAGUUCUAUUUGAAAUCUUAUGUUUUAUAAUCUACCCUACAAACACAAGACUGUAUGAGGCGAAAACAUUUACGAAUUGAGAUAAACCAUGCAGAAAAUUAUGGCAUUUCCCACCAAACGGAUGUUAUAUAAAUUCCAUGACUGUAAAGAAUAUUCUACUAUUCUCCCAUAUUACAUUUAUUAGAUUUAUUUUAAAAAAUCUGCCUGCUCAUUGAUUGAUUUAUUGAAUUAAAUCAGCAUAGCAGGAAGAGGCUACAUGUUUUGAAUGGGGCCAGGAGUUCAACUGUUUCCCUAGCGAUCAUACAACAACAUUCCAAAAUGUAUGUCACAAUGACAGGGUCGCGCUGUUGGCUACGGUUGUACAGGUACCUAUAUGACGUCACCGUUUAUCAACGCGGAAAAGACGUCCAGAUGUUCGGAUUGAACAAAGCUAAACUGGGCCUUGAACAUAAACCCGUGCGCGGCCAUUUCGAGUCAAACGCUCCGUUUCUUCGGCGCAAGGUCAUGAAAAUGAAAGGAACCAGUAAAAGGGCGGAAGAGAAGGGCUAUGCCGCUCCCUAUGAUCCAUUCUUCAGUGGACCAGUACGAAAGAGGAGCUGCACAGAUCUGAUCUGCUGCAUACUGUUCUUGGCUGUCAUAGCUGGUUACAUGGUCAUGGGAGUUCUGGCCUGGUUGUUUGGAGACCCUCGCCAUGUUCUCUUCCCCAGGAACUCCACCGGAAUGUUCUGUGGAGUGGGAAUGAAUAGAGACCAGCCCAGGAUGAUCUAUGUGGACAUACUGAAGUGUGCCACGACCACCAAGGUGAUGGCAGCAGCGCUCGGAGGCACACAGUGUCCCACCACACAGGUGUGUGUCCCUAAGUGUCCGUCUCACUUCUGGAUGCUGUCUGCUGCUGCCUAUGACCCCGACGCCAAUCCCAAAGACUUCUUCCAUCAGCAGUACUGUGACCACAGCCUCAACCUGACUACCACUACCUGGACUGUCCAAGAGAUCCUUGAUGCAGAACUUUGUCCGUCCUUCCUUGUUCCAAGUAAAUCAGCUCUGGGGAGGUGUUUGCCCAGUCUACAUGCUCUCAAAAGUGCUCCUUCCAACUUCACUCUGCCCGGAAUGGCCUCCGUCAACGAGACAGUCAACAGCAUCAGAAGCGCCAUGGGCUCACUGAUAUCAGGCUUCAACAGAAAGGCUGUAGGAGUGAGGGUCUUUGAGGACUUUGCCUCCUCCUGGUACUGGAUCUUACUUGGUCUGACGCUGGCUCUGCUAGUCAGUGUGGUGUUCCUGUUGCUGCUGAGGUACCUGGCCAUUGUCCUGGUCUGGAUUCUCAUGGUGGGACUUCUGGUGGUGGGAGGCUACGGAAUAUGGCAUUGCUACUCAGAAUACUACCAUUUCAGCACUUCUAAACUGAAGUUCGGGGAUCUAAGCUUCAAUACAAAUAUCUCAGUCUACCUUCAAGUCAAAGAGACCUGGCUUGCUUUCUUGAUCAUCCUGUGUGUGUGGGAGUCCAUUUUGAUUCUGGUGCUUAGUUGUCUCAGGAGGAGACUCUCUGUUGCUGUUGCUCUCAUGGAGGAGUCCAGCAGGGUGGUGGGUUACCUGAUGUCCACCCUGCUCUACCCUCUGUUUACCUUUGUUCUGCUGGUGGUGUGUGUGGCCUACUGGGGAAUGACCUCCCUAUACUUGGUCACAUCAGGGGCCCCUCUCUACAGAGUGGUGUCUCUUAGCGACCCCUCUGUAGAUAAGUGUAGUCUCAUCAACGGCUCUGAGACCUGCAAGCCACAGACGUUCAACUCCUCGGCCUACCCAUACUGCCCGUCGGUGCGCUGCAUCUUCUUCAGGUACGAUGACACGGGCCUGUUCCAGCAGAACCUGGUUUACCUGCAGGUCUUCAACAUCUUUGCCUUCCUGUGGUGUGUGAACUUUGUCAUCGCCCUGGGCCAAUGUACCCUGGCUGGGACCUUUGCUUCAUACUACUGGGCCUUCAGCAAGCCUACAGAAAUCUCACCCUUCGCCCUGUCCCAGUGCUUCAUACGCACUCUACAGUACCACGUGGGCUCUCUGGCAUUCGGAGCCCUCCUCCUCACCUGCUUCCAGCUUGUCAGGUUGGUGCUGGAGUACCUGAACCAUAAGACCAGGGGUUCUCAGAGUGCCUGUGGUCGGUUCCUGUUUAACUGUCUCAGAUGCUGCUUCUGGUGUCUGGAAUACUUCCUGAAGAUCCUCAACAGGAACGCUUAUAUCAUGAUCGCCAUCUACGGGGAGAGCUUCUGUGUGUCAGCCAAAAAUGCAUACAGUCUGUUGAUGAGGCACAUCGGACGGGUGGUGCUACUGGACAGAGUGACAGACAUGCUCAUAUUCUUUGGCAAACUACUAGUGGUGGCAAUAGUUGGUGUGUUGGCUUUCUUCUUCUUCUCUGGACAAAUCCGCCUGCCUGGCGACACGUUCCAGGCCGAGAUGCUCAACUAUUACUGGGUUCCCAUCCUGGCACGUCCAUGCAACAGUGUUGUUACCAAACACUCAACACUCACAGUUCUUCAUUGACAUUCUAUCUUCGAUGAACACAUUAGACCAGCGUUUCCCAAACUCGGUCCUCGGGACCCCUAGGGGUGCAAGUUUAGUUUUUUACCCAAACACCACACAGCUGAUUCAAAUGAUUAAAGCUUGAUAAUUAGAUGAUCAUUUGAAUCAGCUGUGUAAUGCUAGGUCAAAAACCAAAACGUAAACUCCUUGGGGGCCGAGGACCAAGUUAGGGAAACCCUGUAUUAGAUGUUGUAUGCAGGUUUGAAAUGGAUUUAGAAAUGAGAUCAUGAAAAUGGCUGAUUUUCAUGUAGUUUCUUUCACUGUUGAACUUAGUAGAACCUCCUUUGAUAUGAGAUGAUUAUUUAUCUUUUAGCCCCUUUUCUCCCCAAUUUCGUGGUAUCCAUUUGGUAGUUAGUCUUGUCUCAUUGCUGCAACCCCCGUACGGACUCAGGAGAGGUGAAGGUCAAGAGCCAUGCGUCCUUCGAAACACAAUCCAAGCAAGCCGCACUGCUUCUUGACACAGCGCUCAUCCAACCCAGAAGCCAGCCGCACCAAUGUGUCGGAGGAAACACAGUACACCUGGCAACCGUGUCAGCGUGCAUUGCACCCAACACGCCACACGAGUCACUAGUGCACGCUGGAACAAGGACAUCCCAGCCAAACCCUCCCCUAGUCCGUACGACACUGGGCCAAUUGUGCACCGCCCCAUGGGUCUCCCAGUCGCAGCCAGCGGCAACAGAGCCUGGACUCAAACCCAGAAUCUGUAGUGGCACAGCUAGCAGCACAUCUAGCACUGUGAUGCAGUGCCUUAGACCACUGCGCCACUCGGGAGGCGGAUAUGAGACUAUUAACGCAGUAGCCUGUGUUGAUAACUGCCGUGUAUUUUUAAAGUUACAUUUACUGUAUGUAUUGUCAGCAGUGUAUUGAUUGGUGCUGUUAGAACUCAUGCAGCUAUGUUGUCGUAAUGUUCCUCUGCAGACAGUGAUGGCCGGAGCCUACCUCAUCGCUCAGGGCUUCUUCAGUGUCUACAGCAUGUGUGUUGACACCCUGUUUCUCUGCUUCUGUUGGGCCCUGGGACUAAACACCUCCCUCUGCAACUGGAUUCUGGACUUCCUGAAGGGCUGCCCCCCCAGGUGGUAAGG